UACAGAGGGGGCAAGCGUUGUUCGGAAUUACUGGGCGUAAAGGGCGCGUAGGCGGCCUUCUAAGUCGAACGUGAAAUCCCUGGGCUCAACCCAGGAACUGCGUCCGAUACUGGAAGGCUUGAAUCCGGGAGAGGGAUGCGGAAUUCCAGGUGUAGCGGUGAAAUGCGUAGAUAUCUGGAGGAACACCGGUGGCGAAGGCGGCUUCCUGGACCGAUACUGACGCUGAGGCGCGAAAGCUAGGGGAGCAAACGGG
rnacentral:rRNA from 1 species